AUGUUCGAGUAUGUAAAUGUUGUCAGCAAGAUGUUUGAUAGUGAGGCUGAAGGCUAUGAAUUCUACAACAAAUAUGCUCUUGAAAAAGGUUUUAGUGUGAGGAAAAGCUACGUUGAGUGGGAUGGAUCCAACAAAUACAUAAUUUUAAGGAAAAUUGUGUGUAGUCGUCAAGGGUUUCGCGAAGAGAAGCACAUGAAAAGAAAGAUGGAAGAUAGAAAGAGGAGGCCACGAAGUUUAACUCGUGUUGGGUGUAAUGCUAAAUUGGUCAUUACGAGACAGGAGGAAACCGGUCGGUGGUUUGUUAAGGAUUUCAUCGAUGAGCACAGCCAUCCUCUAGCCCCACGGGAUCUUUCUUGUCUGCUGUGUUCGCACAGACGAAUUAGCGAUGAGCAGAAAGCGGACAUUGCGGACAUGGAAAGUGGGAUCCGCAAAUACCAUAUUAUGGAUAUUUUGUGCUUUCAAUAUGGUGGAUUUGAUAAGGUUGGAUGCAUGAAGAGGGACAUUUAUAAUUUCUGCCAUGCUAAUAAGCAGGAGACAAUCAGUGCCGCUGAUGCUAAAACGGUGAUCAUGCACAUGAUGGCGAGGCGAGAGCGAGAUGUGGAUUUUUUCUUCAAGUACUUGGUAGACGAGCAUGGCCAUCUGAAGGGACUGUUCUGGGCUGAUAGUCAAUCGCGACUUGACUACGAGGCUUUCGGAGACGUCAUUGUUUUUGAUAGCACAUACAGAACCAGCAAAUACAAUCUGCCAUUCGUGCCUUUUGUCGGGUUGAAUCACCACCGCAGCACUGUUAUAUUUGGCUGUGGUAUAAUUUCUCAUGAAACAAGCCAGGCAUACGAGUGGAUGUUGCGGACCUUUUCUGAUUGCAUGGCACAGAAGCAUCCGAUAUUUGUGAUCACAGAUGGGGACCUUGCAAUGCAGAGAGCAAUAAGAGUGGUCUGGCCAGACUCAAACCAUAGACUAUGUAUAUGGCACAUUCAGCAGAACAUUGUA
rnacentral:rRNA from 1 species